CAUGGUUUAAGGUAGAACAAUAAUCUUCGAAUUUAUUAACGUUAGUUCAAAUCUAACUG
rnacentral:tRNA from 1 species